UACAGAGGGGGCAAGCGUUGUUCGGAAUUACUGGGCGUAAAGGGCGCGUAGGCGGCCUUCUAAGUCGAACGUGAAAUCCCUGGGCUCAACCCAGGAACUGCGUCCGAUACUGGGAGGCUUGAAUCCGGGAGAGGGAUGCGGAAUUCCAGGUGUAGUGGUGAAAUGCGUAGAUAUCUGGAGGAACACCGGUGGCGAAGGCGGCAUCCUGGACCGGCAUUGACGCUGAGGCGCGAAAGCCAGGGGAGCAAACGGG
rnacentral:rRNA from 1 species